GAUGAACGCUGACAGAAUGCUUAACACAUGCAAGUCGAUGGGGAAGUGGUGCUUGCACCAUGGCAACCAUGGCGGACGGGUGAGUAACGCGUAAGGGACUUACCUGCAGGACUGGGAUAACAGGGGGAAACUCCUGACAAGACCGGAUAAUGUCAUGGAGCUGCAUGGCUUUAUGAUGAAAGGAGACGCUUGCGGAGAGCCUUGCGUCCUAUUAGCUAGUUGGUGAGGUAAUGGCUCACCAAGGCGAAGAUAGGUAGCCGGCCUGAGAGGGUGGACGGCCACAAGGGGACUGAGAUACGGCCCUUACUCCUACGGGAGGCAGCAGUGGGGAAUAUUGGACAAUGGGGGCAACCCUGAUCCAGCAAUUCUGUGUGCACGAAGAAGGUUUUCGGAUUGUAAAGUGCUUUCAGCAGGGAAGAAGUAAGUGACGGUACCUGCAGAAGAAGCGACGGCUAAAUACGUG
rnacentral:rRNA from 1 species